UCCCGGAGUUGCAUACAUGAUAUAUAGGCUACCGAGGUGGCUUUGCAUGUGCUCUGGCAACGAUCACACCAUUGGCAUUGCGCUCCGGAACCAACACGAAUAACAUGUUUUUUAUCAAGUUUUUGAAGCUAAAUUAAACGAUAUGUAUAUGAUUAGAAUGCGCGCAUUUAUAUGUAUUACGGCUGAAAAGUGUAGAGGUAGGCCUAUAUCAUAUAAUCAUAUUCUGUCAAAAUAACAGCGGCUAGCGCGCUUUGUCGGCAAAUAGGCCGACAUCGCACAAAUCAUCAUGUUUCGGUUUUCAAUCGGGAAAUCAUCCCAAAUCGUAGCAAUUUAUGGAAUAUUUCCUAAAGCCACAUACACAUGAAAUGUUCAGUGUCUAUCUUUAAGGGCCACGAACCGGCAUAUACUCAGUAGGAGAUAAAAUGGCAAAAUUUGUGGCUCGACAUAGUUAUUCGUGACGUUCGUGAUAGGACCAUAACACUUCGAAAGCUAAUAACCCUAUAUCCUAUAACUUAAGACAUUCUAUCAUCAAACUGAUACAUCGAUAGACUUAUUACUAUUAGACUAUACGAAAUGGAAACAUUUACUUGUUAUACUACAGAUAACGUACACAUUAUUUUAUUACUGGAGAUUUGUUGCGUUAAAUUUUCCUAAUUUUUAAUUUUGCGCAUAAAAGGAAAAAGUACGAAAAAAAAUACCAAAAAUAAAAAUAAUAUUUUCGUGAAAAAAUGCAUUUUUAGCACAUUUUAUGACCCACGACUUUACCCACGACUUUACCCACGACUUUACCCACGACUUUACCCACGACACACGACUUUUAACCCACGACACACGAC